AAAACUAAAUAUGUAACGAGUGUACUUUUAUAAAGAAAGUAUUGACAGGGAAGUCAGUUAAGCUGACGCGGUCCCGCCACUGUAGUAGUGAGCGGCCUUAUACAAUGUCACUGGGCAACCGGGAAGACAUAGGGCUGCAAUGAACUUAAGCCAGGAGACCUGCUCGUUACAGAUUACACAG
rnacentral:ncRNA from 2 species